rnacentral:rRNA from 1 species
CCUACGGGAGGCAGCAGUGAGGAAUAUUGGUCAAUGGGCGAGAGCCUGAACCAGCCAAGUCGCGUGAAGGAUGAAGUAUCUAUGGAUUGUAAACUCUUUUUAUAUGGGAAUAAAGUGAGGUACGUGAUUCAUUAUGUACGUAUCACAUGAAUACGCAUCGGCCAAUUACGUGCCAGCAGCCGCGGUAAUACGGAGGAUGCGAGCGUUAUCCGGAUUUAGUGGGUUUAAAGGGUGCGUAGGUGGUUAAUUAAGUCUGCAGUGAAAGGUUGUGGCUCAACCAUAAGAUUGCCGUUGAAACUGGUUGGCUUGAGUAUAUGUGAGGUAAGCGGAAUGCGUGGUGUAGCGGUGAAAUGCGUAGAUAUCACGCAGAACUCCGGUUGCGAAGGCAGCUUACUAAACUGUAACUGACGCUGAGGCACGAAAGCGUGGGGAUCAAACAGGAUUAGAUACCCCAGUAGUC